AUUGAACGCUGGCGGCAGGCCUAACACAUGCAAGUCGAACGGUAGCACAGAGAGCUUGCUCUCGGGUGACGAGUGGCGGACGGGUGAGUAAUGUCUGGGAAACUGCCCGAUGGAGGGGGAUAACUACUGGAAACGGUAGCUAAUACCGCAUAACGUCGCAAGACCAAAGUGGGGGACCUUCGGGCCUCACACCAUCGGAUGUGCCCAGAUGGGAUUAGCUAGUAGGUGGGGUAAUGGCUCACCUAGGCGACGAUCCCUAGCUGGUCUGAGAGGAUGACCAGCCACACUGGAACUGAGACACGGUCCAGACUCCUACGGGAGGAAGGAGUGGGGAAUAUUGAACAAUGGGCGCAAGCCUGAUGCAGCCAUGCCGAGUGUAUGAAGAAGGCCUUCGGGUUGUAAAGUACUUUCAGCGGGGAGGAAGGCGGUGGAGUUAAUAACUUCACCGAUUGACGUUACCCGCAGAAGAAGCACCGGCUAACUCCGUGCCAGCCGCCGCGGUAA
rnacentral:rRNA from 1 species